rnacentral:misc_RNA from 1 species
GAUGAAGAACGUAGCGAAAUGCGAUACGUAAUGUGAAUUGCAGAAUUCAGUGAAUCAUCGAGUCUUUGAACGCACAUUGCGCCCCCUGGUAUUCCCGGGGGCAUGCCUGUCCGAGCGUCAUUGCUGCCCUCAAGCACGGCUUGUGUGUUGGGCCUCCGUCCUCCUCCCGGGGGACGGGCCCGAAAGGCAGCGGCGGCACCGCGUCCGGUCCUCGAGCGUAUGGGGCUUCGUCACCCGCUCUUGUAGGCCCGGCCGGCGCUUGCCGACACAUCAAUCUUUUUUCCAGGUUGACCUCGGAUCAGGUAGGGAUACCCGCUGAACUUAAGCAUACAAUAAGCGGAGGA